UCUCCCCCGGCCACCAGGUGGCGCCCGAGACACCCCAGCGCAGACACCGCCAAAGGACGUUCUCUGGGAGCGCGCGGCUCCUUUAGUCCUAAAAACCAGACAACUUUUGGGAUUGCAGCCGGAAGGAACAAACCCUUUCCCUUCAAAGUAUCUCAGUAGCGUCGUCAACAGGAAAGGAUCAAUAAUUUCUGGCCCCAGCUGGAGAAGAUGGACUUCGCAUCUCCCGCAAGAAAUCCACUACCUCUGCAGACCAGCCAAGGAGAAACACCAUCACCCUGAGCUCCCGCUUUUCUCCACUGGACUUUCCUUCAAAGCAAGGCCUCUCAACUUCCUCCAAAAGAACAUUCCUCAGCUUUGUGGGACUUGCCUGUGGUUUUGUCAGCUUGCAAUGUCCUGAAUUAUAAUUCUCUGUUGUCCUGAAUAAACCCAUUUUGCUGGCAAAAUAA